GAACGCUAGCUACAGGCUUAACACAUGCAAGUCGAGGGGCAUCAGGAAGAAAGCUUGCUUUCUUUGCUGGCGACCGGCGCACGGGUGAGUAACACGUAUCCAACCUGCCCUUUACUCGGGGAUAGCCUUUCGAAAGAAAGAUUAAUACCCGAUGGCAUAAUGAUUCCGCAUGGUUUCAUUAUUAAAGGAUUCCGGUAAAGGAUGGGGAUGCGUUCCAUUAGGUUGUUGGUGGGGUAACGGCCCACCAAGCCUUCGAUGGAUAGGGGUUCUGAGAGGAAGGUCCCCCACAUUGGAACUGAGACACGGUCCAAACUCCUACGGGAGGCAGCAGUGAGGAAUAUUGGUCAAUGGGCGCUAGCCUGAACCAGCCAAGUAGCGUGAAGGAUGAAGGCUCUAUGGGUCGUAAACUUCUUUUAUAUAAGAAUAAAGUGCAGUAUGUAUACUGUUUUGUAUGUAUUAUAUGAAUAAGGAUCGGCUAACUCCGUGCCAGCAGCCGCGGUAAUACGGAGGAUCCGAGCGUUAUCCGGAUUUAUUGGGUUUAAAGGGAGCGUAGGUGGACUGGUAAGUCAGUUGUGAAAGUUUGCGGCUCAACCGUAAAAUUGCAGUUGAUACUGUCAGUCUUGAGUACAGUAGAGGUGGGCGGAAUUCGUGGUGUAGCGGUGAAAUGCUUAGAUAUCACGAAGAACUCCGAUUGCGAAGGCAGCUCACUGGACUGCAACUGACACUGAUGCUCGAAAGUGUGGGUAUCAAACAGGAUUAGAUACCCUGGUAGUCCACACAGUAAACGAUGAAUACUCGCUGUUUGCGAUAUACAGUAAGCGGCCAAGCGAAAGCAUUAAGUAUUCCACCUGGGGAGUACGCCGGCAACGGUGAAACUCAAAGGAAUUGACGGGGGCCCGCACAAGCGGAGGAACAUGUGGUUUAAUUCGAUGAUACGCGAGGAACCUUACCCGGGCUUAAAUUGCAGUGGAAUGAUGUGGAAACAUGUCAGUGAGCAAUCACCGCUGUGAAGGUGCUGCAUGGUUGUCGUCAGCUCGUGCCGUGAGGUGUCGGCUUAAGUGCCAUAACGAGCGCAACCCUUAUCUUUAGUUACUAACAGGUUAUGCUGAGGACUCUAGAGAGACUGCCGUCGUAAGAUGUGAGGAAGGUGGGGAUGACGUCAAAUCAGCACGGCCCUUACGUCCGGGGCUACACACGUGUUACAAUGGGGGGUACAGAAGGCAGCUAGCGGGUGACCGUAUGCUAAUCCCAAAAGCCUCUCUCAGUUCGGAUCGAAGUCUGCAACCCGACUUCGUGAAGCUGGAUUCGCUAGUAAUCGCGCAUCAGCCACGGCGCGGUGAAUACGUUCCCGGGCCUUGUACACACCGCCCGUCAAGCCAUGGGAGCCGGGGGUACCUGAAGUACGUAACCGCAAGGAUCGUCCUAGGGUAAAACUGGUGACUGGGGC
rnacentral:rRNA from 1 species